rnacentral:rRNA from 1 species
AUUGAACGCUGGCGGCAUGCUUUACACAUGCAAGUCGAACGGCAGCGCGGGGGCAACCCUGGCGGCGAGUGGCGAACGGGUGAGUAAUGCAUCGGAACGUAUCCUGUAAUGGGGGGAUAACGUAGCGAAAGUUACGCUAAUACCGCAUACGCUCGAGAGAGGAAAGUGGGGGAUCGCAAGACCUCACGUUAUAGGAGCGGCCGAUGUCCGAUUAGCUAGUUGGUGGGGUAAAGGCCUACCAAGGCGACGAUCGGUAGCUGGUCUGAGAGGAUGAUCAGCCACACUGGGACUGAGACACGGCCCAGACUCCUACGGGAGGCAGCAGUGGGGAAUUUUGGACAAUGGGCGAAAGCCUGAUCCAGCCAUGCCGCGUGCGGGAGAAGGCCUCGGUUGUAACG